CUUUGGUUAGCUCAGUUGGUAGAGGGCUCCAAUGGAAAUGGAGAGGUCCCGGGUUCGAUACCCGGACCAGGCG
rnacentral:tRNA from 2 species